GUGAACGCUGGCGGUAGGCCUAACACAUGCAAGUCGAACGGCAGCACAGUAAGCGCUUGCUCUUACGGGUGGCGAGUGGCGGACGGGUGAGGAAUACAUCGGAAUCUACUUUUUCGUGGGGGAUAACGUAGGGAAACUUACGCUAAUACCGCAUACGACCUACGGGUGAAAGCCGGGGAUCUUCGGACCUUGCGCGAUUGAAUGAGCCGAUGUCGGAUUAGCUAGUUGGCGGGGUAAAGGCCCACCAAGGCGACGAUCCGUAGCUGGUCUGAGAGGAUGAUCAGCCACACUGGAACUGAGACACGGUCCAGACUCCUACGGGAGGCAGCAGUGGGGAAUAUUGGACAAUGGGCGCAAGCCUGAUCCAGCCAUACCGCGUGGGUGAAGAAGGCCUUCGGGUUGUAAAGCCCUUUUGUUGGGAAAGAAAAGCAGCAGGUUAAUACCCCGCUGUUCUGACGGUACCCAAAGAAUAAGCACCGGCUAACUUCGUG
rnacentral:rRNA from 1 species